UACGAAGGGGGCUAGCGUUGCUCGGAAUCACUGGGCGUAAAGGGCGUGUAGGCGGGAAGGAAAGUCAGAUGUGAAAUCCCCAGGCUCAACCUGGGAACUGCAUUUGAAACUCCCUUUCUUGAGUACCGGAGAGGAAAGUGGAAUUCCUGGUGUAGAGGUGAAAUUCGUAGAUAUCAGGAGGAACACCAGUGGCGAAGGCGGGUCUCUGGGCAGUAACUGACGCUGAGGAGCGAAAGCGUGGGGAGCGAACAGG
rnacentral:rRNA from 1 species